rnacentral:rRNA from 1 species
ACCCGCACAAGCGGUGGAUGAUGUGGAUUAAUUCGAUGCAACGCGAAGAACCUUACCUACCCUUGACAUGUCCGGAACUUGCCAGAGAUGGCUUGGUGCCCGAAAGGGAAUCGGAACACAGGUGCUGCAUGGCUGUCGUCAGCUCGUGUCGUGAGAUGUUGGGUUAAGUCCCGCAACGAGCGCAACCCUUGUCAUUAGUUGCUACGAAAGGGCACUCUAAUGAGACUGCCGGUGACAAACCGGAGGAAGGUGGGGAUGACGUCAAGUCCUCAUGGCCCUUAUAGGUGGGGCUACACACGUCACACAAUGGCUGGUACAAAGGGUUGCCAACCCGCGAGGGGGAGCCAAUCCCAUAAAGCCAGUCGUAGUCCGGAUCGCAGUCUGCAACUCGACUGCGUGAAGUCGGAAUCGCUAGUAAUCGUGGAUCAGCAUGUCACGGUGAAUACGUUCCCAGGUCUU